ACACUCCCUCCAUCCUAUAUUAGUGGUCGCUUUCAGUUUUUUAUUUAUAAAAUUUGAUUAUUCGUCUUAUUUAAAAUUUUUUUAGAAUUAUCAUUUAUUUUGUUUGUGAUUUGUUUUAUUAUCAAAAGUACUUUAAGUAUGACUUAUCAUUUUUUUAUAUUUGCUCUAAUUUUUUAAAUAAAAUGAAUGGUCAAACGUUACAAACAAAAAGUCAAAGCGAUAAGUAACGUGGGACGGAGGUAGUAGAUUG
rnacentral:misc_RNA from 1 species